CUAUUAGUGGGUUAUCAUCGGGUGGGGUAAGCCUAUGGUUAGUCCCUUACACGGGGCAAGGCCACGACGGCUGGUUGGUAGGCCAAGGGGGCAAUGGGCCGAGAUCAGCAACUGGAAGCUCUGGGCUAUGGUGAUGCCUAGGGUGGGCAGUGGCGCUUAACUAGGACCCCCGCUGGAAACCCCAGAACUAGUUAAAGCGGCCCGAGAGGACGGACGCGGUGGUCGGUUGGUUAUAGGGGUUAUAAUAUGUAACUAGCUUAAGGUGCAUCCUGCGUGGAAUAGCCACGUAGUUGCCUGUGUGACCUCUGUUUCAGAUUAUGCAGUUCAGGUGUGGUGGAGAGGUCAAAAACACUUUAUAGAAAGGUUUCAAAAACUUCAAAACUCAGC
rnacentral:sRNA from 1 species